rnacentral:rRNA from 1 species
GUCGGGAGUUAGGAAAUGCAAGGAUGUUAAUAGCGUCUUUGCUUGACUAAGGCUCCGGAGGAAGCCGCGGCUAACUCUGUGCCAGCAGCCGCGGUAAUACAGAGGCGGCAAGCGUUGUUCGGAAUUAUUGGGCGUAAAGAGCACGUAGGCGGCCGUGUAAGUCGGUUGUGAAAGCCUUCCGCUCAACGGGAGAACGGCAUCCGAUACUGCAUGGCUCGAGUGCGGGAGGGGAGAGUGGAACUUCUGG